rnacentral:rRNA from 1 species
GAACGGUGAAAAAGAAUUUGAGAAUUUGAAAAGAUCCUGAAAUUUAAUGCUAACAAUCAGUUGAAGCUUAUAAAAGUAACAGCGUACCUUUUGUAUAAUGGACCAACAAGUUUAUUUUAGUGGCGAGCUUAAACAAAUAAAAUGUGCAGGCUAAAAGAAAUUAAGUUUAAAAAUGCUUUUAAGUCUCUAAAAUAAAACCCGAAACUAAGUGAUCUAAUCAUGAACAGGUUGAAUUUCAAGCGGCAACGCUUAUUGAAGGACCGAACUCGUGUAUGUAGAAAAAUACUGAGAUGAUUUGUGAUUAGGGGUGAAAGGCCAAUCAAACUUAGA